UUUUCCUAAAGAUUUGCUUCCAUUUUAGGCCCAUAUUCUGACUUGGUAUUGGCAAAACAAAGAUGGUUAUUGCUAUGUCAUGUUUUGAAUGUAGUCACUGAACAAAAAAUAAGGUCAACUUCAUUGCUUGCAAUGACUCCUUCUCAUUGAGGUAAAUAUUUGUCAUGGAAUUUUGUAGCAAACAACACGUUAGUUUAUUAGUUAUGUAUUUUUAGUUUUUUACUGACUUCCUUAAGUUCCUUUCUAGUAGUAGCAUCUAUAGUUGUAAAGACGGUUCUCAUGAUGUUUUGAGAAUCUCUAGUAAAACAUCUCAAGCUAACAUAGUAUUGUACAUUAAAAUGUCUAGGUUUCUUUUAUAGAUACUGUUUAAUGCA